rnacentral:rRNA from 1 species
UACCGAGGGUGCGAGCGUUAAUCGGAAUUACUGGGCGUAAAGCGUGCGUAGACGGUUUCGUAAGUCGGGUGUGAAAUCCCCGGGCUCAACCUGGGAAUUGCAUUCGAAACUGCGAGGCUAGGGUACGGAAGAGGGAAGCGGAAUUUCUGGUGUAGCGGUGAAAUGCGUAGAUAUUCGGAAGAACACCAGUGGCGAAGGCGGCUCACUGGACCGGCAUUGACGCUGAGGUGCGAAAGCGUGGGGAGCAAACAGG